UACGAAAGGGGCUAGCGUUGCUCGGAAUCACUGGGCGUAAAGCGCACGUAGGCGGCUUGUUAAGUCAGGGGUGAAAUCCUGGAGCUCAACUCCAGAACUGCCUUUGAUACUGGCGAGCUUGAGUUCGGGAGAGGUGAGUGGAACUGCGAGUGUAGAGGUGAAAUUCGUAGAUAUUCGCAAGAACACCAGUGGCGAAGGCGGCUCACUGGCCCGAUACUGACGCUGAGGUGCGAAAGCGUGGGAGCAAACAGG
rnacentral:rRNA from 1 species